AGGCAGCAGUGGGGAAUAUUGCGCAAUGGGCGAAAGCCUGACGCAGCGACGCCGCGUGAGGGAUGAAGGUCUUCGGAUCGUAAACCUCUGUCAGCAGGGAAGAACGGUCACUGUGCUAAUCAGCAGUGAAUUGACGGUACCUGCAAAGGAAGCACCGGCUAACUCCGUGCC
rnacentral:rRNA from 1 species